CCUUGAUCUAUUCAUUUAGUCAUGGCUUCCCGACAACUUUUCUUGGAAUAAAAGUAAACCAAUACAGGAAUUGUAAGGAUGGCUUGAGAGGAGACUCCCUUAGAUGGUCCUUUAGAGUCCACGAAGCCUGCAGCCCUACAGCUUGUCCUCAGCAACAUUGCAACUCUUUCCUCACAAAGUACACCAAAGCUUUGGUUUGAGGGAGCUGCCAGGACACUCAUAUUCUGUGUGUACCCAGAGGCCAGUGGGGUCAAGAGAAAGUCUGAACGAGGUCAUCGCAUACUUACUUAACUAUAUGAAUAGCUUUUUUUUAAAGGAUGAUCACAGGUCUGGGGACAAAAUCCAGAUUCAAGUUCAUCAGUCUAAUUAUAAACUAGCUGUCUCUAUUGAAAUAUUUACCAAGAGAAAAAAUACAUUUGUUUUCAUGGAAAGGUUUUAUUCUUUUGUUUUGUGAAAACCUUGGCCACAAAAACAGUCCCCAGGAAGCCCUUCUAAAUCCUAAAAAGAUGAGUGGAGAGACUGUUAAUUAAAUAUUUCAUUAGUGUUUGCCAUAGAGUAAGCCUAUUCAUUUCAGUGAGGUCAAAUUUAUGAUACAGGAGAGUUAGAAUUUUAUGUGCUCUGUGUAUACUUUAUAGUACAUUGGGGCACCUCAUAAAAAUCAAUUGUACAGUACAUUUAUGCCUUAAAAAAAAAGACCCAGGUCAUAAUUUAAGAUUUUAAAUGAUUAGAAAGGUUUAUAAUUUUUGCUUCUUUACUUUUAUGACUCACUAUGAGAUGAACUUAGUUGAUGCCAAGACUUGGAUCAGAAAUAUUAUCUGACUACUAUCUUGUUUCUUUGGACAAAUAUGCUUCACUUUUUAAGAUGAUCUGUAUUUUAAAAAGUGCCAGCUGUCAUUAUACAGUUUCUUCUCUUCAGUUACCUUAUGCUGGUGUUAGUGGGAGUGAUGCUUUUCAAGUUUUAGUUUGGUUUUCUUCUUCUCAAUCAAAUCAGAGACUCUCUGUGAGCACCAGACUGUUUCUUUUAUUUUCUAAGUGAUACACAGUGUAUAGCUGGUGCUAAAGAAACGGGUUUCAGCUUCACUGAACGAACACACGGAAAUAGGAGCAGAUGUGGAGUUCUUAGGAGAAGGCAAAAAUUAGGGCAUCACUCUUGUACAGGGAAACCAGAGCCCCUGAUCAAUCUUGCGGGGAAAUCUGUUCAAUUACUCAAUAUCCUCAAAGCGCCUUCUUCAAAUGAGCAUGUUCGGGGGCUCAAUCCAUCUUCACUGCACUAUGGCAGAUGAACUGUUCUAACAUCUAAUUCUUUUUAUAAAGCUGAAAAUGUUUCUCAAGCUCUUUAUGGCUGAUUGAACUAAUUUACUGUGGAACAGGCAGCAGCCUAUCUUUAGAUAAAUGCUAAUCAGGACGUUAGAGCUCUCUUCGGUCUGACUGCCACUAUUAUGCUGAAAGGGAAGGUCAACAGCUAAUAAACCCAGUUAACAAGCCAUUCUGAACUUCACUUUAGCUUAACACUCUUCAAAGUUGCAGUCAUUAAAUCCAUAGAUUAUUAGAGGCUGUCCUAGUGUUUUCACUGCACACGGAGACAAACUUUCAGUACAGUCAUUAAUUGAAUUAACAUUGUCUAAUCCAAUUUUAUAGAGUGUAAACUGAGAUAGGACUGAGGGGAAGGCCUUCUCAAAUGCCCUCACAAUAAACGCAGGAGAAUACCAUCAUCCAAGAUUAGACUCUGGCUGAAGAGGGACAGGAAACAUGUCCCAUUAAUGGUUUCUUUUCCCUCACAGCCCUCUCUCCACUUCUUUCUUCCCUGAAGUCUUUCAACGAGUAAAAGAAAGGCAUUUUGUAGUUGCUAGAGGAUAGUUUUACACUGCAGAAAAGCCAGACAGAAAAACAGUGAGGCCAUUUGUAUCACUGUCCCACACAACCCAGGACAAGGAUGACAAUGCAGUCUCAGACAAGGCGUAGCAGCUCCCUUUCUACCAGAAAUGACUGGGAUAAUUAGCUCCAUCCCAGACCCCUGAGAGACCAAGUCCUGCUAUAAUAACCAAAGGGCCGUCAAAACAUUCUCAAGUUAGGCCAAAGGGCUCUAAGUCUAAUUUAGAAACUAAAACAUUUCAACACUAUGCACUAGAGAAUUCUCUUUAUAAUAAGAUGGGCAGCAAACUGUUUCAUCAACAGUUGUGGAUAAAUACUAGGAGGCUCCCUCCCUUGCCCUUACCAAGUAUGAGAGGGACCUAGUCCCUUUUUAUUUCUGAUUGGUCUCCCCUUCUCAAGCAGCAGAAGAAAGGCAUACGGUGAACCAUUUCCUUUAAUGAGAAGACAACCGUUUUCUCUGUGUUGCCUACCUGUGGGUACCAAAAUGAGCAAAAAGGCAUAUGGAAAACCUAAAGCUUCACAAUACAAAUCAGGUCUGGUCAUGCAGCGUCAUCGUAUUCAUUAAUAUAAAAGGUCUAUUUAUGUUACAAGAAUAAUUUAAGUCAAGUCUGGAGAUGGACACCAAAGAAACCUCACACCCGUGAAGACUUACCACGACAACAUACUAAGACAUGACGUUGGAUGUACAAUUCAAUGGUUCUCAUUUCAAAAGGCCACAUCAACGUGCCCACUUGAUGCGGUCAGGCAGGCCCCAUCCCCAAUCACACGAGUCCCUAUGUGUCUGGGCCGAUCACGGUGGUCCCAUUUCACUGUCAGUGACCAAUUUAAGUGUGAGAGUGUGAUACACCUCGGGGCUGUUAAACAUGUCAGGGAUCUGCUGAGGUCUUCCGGGAAAGGCAUCCUUACACCUAAGGAGAAAACCAACACAUGAAGACAGGCUCUUCUUCCUUUGGAUUCAGCGCAUGGAACUUGUGCAGCCAAAAGCACUGCAAAACAGUGAGUGGUCUACAUAGUAAUGAUAUAGGUCUGUGUUGGCAAAUUACAGUCCACUUUUUGGGGGGGAGGGGCAAAAAUUAGGUUUUACUGGUACACAGCCAUAUCCACUCAUUUACAUGACUGUGAUACAAAUGGCCUCAUUGUACAUGUGACUACAACAUCCAAGGUGAAUAGUUUUGACAAAGAUAAUAUGACCUGGAAAGUCAAAUAUAUUUACUGUUUGGUCCUGCCCAGAAAAAGUGUACCAAGUUCUGAUUCAGAUUCAUGUCUAGUUAUUUUUUAUUCUGAUUAGUUAACCAAUACACUAUACUUAAGUGCAAGUACACUGGUAAUGACAAUGACCAUUAUUUUCAGUUUAAAACCUAUAUUUCAGCUGAAGCGUAUUCUAGAUAUAAUCCAAUCCAACAAAUGCUUAUUAAGCACCUACCAUGUACCACAACACAAGUUUGGAUAAAAUACAAUCUUCCUACUUAAGGAGCUCAAAGAACAACAGGCAGGAUGCUCAAACUCAUAAAUAAUAUGAAAAGGGGGAGUAGGCAGUGAACCUAUUUCAUAUUAUACAGUGGUAGUCUUUGGUAUCUCUGUAUUUAUGUUCUAUAUCUAUGACUCUGUUUGCUUUAUAAUGUUUGUUCAUUUGUUUUCCUUUUUAGAUUCCACAUAUUUACUUAAGUGAAAUCGUAAGAUAUUUGCCUCUGACUUAUUUCACUUCAGCAUAAUAACCAGUAGGUCCAUCCAUGUUGUCACAAAUGGCAAGAUUUCAUUCUUUUUUAUGGCUAAGUAAUACUCCACUGUAUAUAUACACAUAUAUACACAUCCUCUUUAUCCAUUCAUCUGUCAAUGUGGAAAAUGAGACAAAAAGAAUACUUGUCCAAGUUCCCAACCCAGUUAGUCUAGCCCCAGUGUUUACACCUCAAUCAUCAUCCUCUACUGUUAAAGUUAAAUACAUUCUAAAAAUAAACAACAGAGGCCAGGGGCUAAGAAAACAAGAAGCUCGAGAGAAGAACACUCAGUUAGUCCUAUUUAGCGAGAGGACAGGGAAAUAACUGGGAGCAACAGAAAUGAAAAAGGGAGUCAUGGCCACAUUACUGAAGAUCUUACGAGUCAAGCAGAGGAGUCAGUACUCAAUCCAUGGGCCAUGGGGCCCCUUGAGGAAUUUUCCUCAGCGUGAGUACAUACAUUGAAGAAAGUAAAAGUAUUUUAUUCUGACUCAGAUGAAGAGAUGAAUAGAAAUUAUAUUUUUUUAAAAAAUCUAGGCAAGAAAUAAUGUGGCAGUAUCACAUUAAAUAAUGGAAAAGAAAGGGAAACAUACAAAAGAGAUGGGGGCUGAGGAAGGAGAAGGAACAAACAAGCACAGAGCUGGUGUGGAGGACAGGGAGCUUUCACAGAAAUGAUAACUGAAGAAGAGCUGUUUUGUAGGAAGUAAAUACAUACAGGACUUGGAUAUAAUGAUUUACCAUGAGGUGAGCUAGCCUGUAGGAAAUGCUAUGCUGGAGCUGAAGUUUCAUUUAAUACCAAAAUAUGGGGUGAUUUAAGAAGGAUAGGGGACCUUUGCUUCAGACAGCUGCUAUGGCCUGUUCCAUGCAUUGCACUUUCUAAGGGAAUCUGCUGGAUCACCAAACCUGCCAUAUAGUGGUCAGGUACUGGUCCAUCAGGACCCCCCUAGCCUGGAAAUGUGAAUUAUGAAACUGCUAGGGUGAUACAGUGAGCAAAAGGGAUAAAUGAUAGGCAAAUCCAUAAGGCUUAAGACUAACGCACAAACUAAAGUGGAUAGGGAGCCAAAGACUCAGAGAGAGACAAAGAAGCAGCUAGGUGAAAAGAGAUGAAGAUGAAAAGAAUACAGCUGUGUGUGUGUGUGUGUGUGUGUGUGUGUGUGUGUGUGUGUGUGUGCGUGCGCCUAUGUGUAUGAAAGAGGGGGAGAGGGAGAGAGGAAGACACAGAAAGAGAGAAGGGGGUGAGGGGGAGGGAAGAGAAGGAGAGAAUAAGAAUGAAUGUGGACAGAAACCUAACAACUGAUCAAGACCAACUCACAAGAGAAUGAUUAUAUGACCAUCUUGGUUCCACUUCAUAUGAGCCCUGCUAAAAUAAGAUUUUUUUUUUUUUUUUACUAUUUCUUAAAUGUUUCCUUACUAUUAAAAACAACAAGAAAAAAAUCUUAAGGCAAUUAGAGUGGGUCUUGGUUCCUUGCAUCUAAACUAGCCGGAAGAGGAAGAAUACAAUUUCCCAUAUUCCCCAAAGUCUACGUAGGUUUUUAGGACAAAUAAAGAACAAACAUGAGGGGUCUUUCUCAUUCAUUUAACUAGUAAUAACCCAAAUUUAUUAUAUGAUACUUCAUUUCCUAAGGGCAAGAGAAAUGUAACCAUUGGGAACAUGGGUUUUACCUACUUUAUGCCUUACGGCACUCUUAACACCAUCACAUGGACAUAAUCUCUCUGACAGUAUGUAUCAAAAUCUAAAAUGCACACUCCUUUCUACAUGAUGUCUUGGGCUUAGUUGAAGCAUUUUGGGAAAUAUCUCAGGUCAUGCUGAUGCUGCUGGUCCAAGGACCGUAAUAUAAGGAUUAUUAACACAGGAGCUACAUGAAUAGUGAUCAGUGAAAAGCGGCCCAGGAAACAUGAAGACGAGAGCGUUAAAGGAGAAACAUUAAAAAUAGCAACAUCUAAGGCGUAUCCAAGGAAGAGAGGCCAAUCAAAGCAAACUAUUUCCUGUAAGUUGAGGAAAACCAGAGGGGGCUGAUGUCAUGAAAAACCAAGAGCAAAGAGUGUCAAGAAAGAAGUCAUCGCAAGAAUCCUUAAAUAACUCAAAGAUCAGCACGUUAUAUUCCAGUAGAAUCAACCAGUUAAUGGCCUCAAUAAGUCAGCACCUCAACAUCAGCAGGGGCUUCAUCUCCCGGCCAAAUC
rnacentral:lncRNA from 1 species